rnacentral:lncRNA from 1 species
GUCCCAUGACCUAACCUCCUCCCAGUGGACCCUGCCUUUUAAAGGUCCUGCCAUCUCUCAGUGGUGUUACAGGCUUGGGACCAAUCCCUUAGCAUGAGAGCCUUUAGGGAGCAUAUAAGCUGCAAACCAUAAAGAAUAUCUUAAAAGGCUUUUGUGCCCAUAUAGAGAACAUACAAGAAAGGGCAAUUCUCAGACCCUGCUCCUGCCUCCCUGAGGUGACUCUGGGGUUGGGGGCCUGGUCUGCAGCAGCAUGUCCGUGGACUCAGUUUGGGGUGCCCUGGGAUAGAUGCUGUGGAGAAGGAAGCUGAUGCUUCUCUCAGGCCAGUGUUGCUGUGGAAACCAGCUGUGCACAGGUGCAGCCUUACUCACACAUCCCCCUGCUGCACCAGCGUUUGUUUCUUCUCUGCCCCAGGCUCCUCUGCUGUACAGGAAGGGUGAGCUGGGAAGCCUGCCGAGCCAUUCCAGGCAUGUGCAAACCUGGAGAUGCUGAGGGGUUGAUGAACAGCCCUGGGGCCUCCAUGAACCAAGGUUCUGUUUCAAGCAUCAAGAUGGCAGCUCACAGCCAUGGAACUCCAGUUUCAGGGGAUCUGGUGCCUUCCUCUGACCUCCAAGGUACCCACAUACAUAUACAUACACUAACACACGUGUGCAUGCACAUGUGUGCACACACGC